rnacentral:rRNA from 1 species
CCCUUAGAUGUCCUGGGCCGCACGCGCGCUACACUGAUGCAUUCAACGAGUCUACCUUGGCCGAGAGGCCUGGGCAACCUUUUAAACGUGCAUCGUGAUAGGGAUAGAUUAUUGCAAUUAUUAAUCUUGAACGAGGAAUUCCUAGUAAACGCAAAUCAUCAACUUGCAUUGAUUACGUCCCUGCACUUUGUACACACCGCCCGUCGCACCUACCGAUUGAAUGGUCCGGUGAGGACUCGGGAUUUUUACCAGUUUCCUUCAUUGGGAAUUGGUGAGGAGAACUUGUCCAAACCUUAUCAUUUAGAGGAAGGUGAAGUCGUAACA